AUGCAACCAAUAAUACCAUAACCAUAUGAUAUAAACAAGUUGACAUGUUUGACGUUUUGACGAUUAAACCUUAAACGUCAGUCAGAUGGACCACAAAUCAGUAAUAUAAAAAGGAUAUUUAAAAACAAUUUGUAUUUUGAUAGAUCUGUUUGUUUUACCAUUUCGAAUUACAGUGUCUAAUACGUUUUGAUUUUUGUGAAACUAAUAUGAAAAUAUGUGGUCCCAAUACGAUGAAAACUUAUCAAACAAUCCCUUUUUUAAAGAAAUUCAGGAAAACCACCUUGAUAUUAUCGAAGAAUCAUCAAUACAGCGCUGGAUAAUUUGCGUGCCUCGAAUAGGAACCUUCGAACCAUCAGAAAUUAGUUCAGAUGUAAUUUUGGACCAUAUUAUAGUAUGUCCCACGAAAGAUCCCGAAAAGGAAUGUUACACACUAAGCAAAAAACCAAUAAGUAUAGUAGAUAAAAUCAUUAUUACCGAUGUUAGCAAUCCGACAAAUAAUGUAAACGUUUUGUUUGUAGAGACGUUUUAUAAUCGAGAUAGUUCGAAAUUUAUUGUAUGGUGUAUAGACCACCCACUGUUUUUAAAACGAAAUUUUUGCGAUUCUCACAUUCCUAAACAGUUAAAUACUCUACACGACUGUAUAGACUUCCUUUGGUGCAACAGUUUAAGUCAUAGCAUACUUGACUCGAUAAAAAACGUCGUUUGUAACUUUAAUUGUAAUAAUGAGCUAGAAAUCGAAAGUCUUCAAGCUCAAAAGGAGUUGAUAGGUAUUUUAUUUUCUCAGUGUUUACAGGUUUGUUUUAAAAACGAAGCAUUGCGGGAAAAAUGUCUGGAAACUAGUCAGUUUGUAGAAAAUCUCAAAUUAGCUGUAGAAACGUACAUGCAGUACUGUUUAGGUAAAAGUUUGAUCUUUAGCUUAAACACUUUGAACCACCAGAAAGAUAGUUAUUUGAAUAAGACUAUAAGAAACUGCUCAGAUGUGCAAUAUCAAGAUUUAGGUAUUGCUAACGAUUUUUCAGAUACAAUUCUGGCGGCCAAACGUGAAUUUAACCAGAUCAAUAGCUAUUAUACAGUUUUAGAAAAGACAAACUGUUUGAAAAAAACGUUAGAUAUUAUUUUUGAGGCUGGCAAUAGCAUUAGUGGGUUAUGUGUUACUUCCGAUGACGUUUUACAGUUAUUGGUAUUCUUGAUAUUGAAGUUGAACGUCAAUAAUUGGUUUGCGAAUUUAGUUUUUAUAAAAGAAUUUCAGUUAAGUAGUGAAAGUUCAGACCAAAGAUUAUUUUGUAUUUCAUCCUUUGAAGCAGCCUUAGAAUUUAUCAGUAGUAGUAGGUUUUGGGAUAUUAAAAAUAACGUAAAAAAUAUAGAGUAUGAUGAAAUUGCAGUUAAUUUUUUAGAAUCACAAAUUAAGUUAGGGGAUAUUAAUAGCGUAAGACUGAUUCCUGGAUCUGACAACUAUGUUAAAAGUAUGUGCCAUCCGUUGUGUGUUUGUAGUAAAUGUAGACUUGUUGUUCAACAACAGAACAAUUUUUUAAAUUCACUUGUGCCAUUCACUGAAAUUAGUGACAGUUUACUUGUUCUCGCUACUCGUUUAGAAAAGUGUGAGGUGGUAGAAUUUCUUUUAAAUAGAGGAGUUCACGUUUACUACACUGAUUCUUUUGGAAAGACAUGUUUCCAUUAUGCGGCAGCCAAAGGCCUACAAAAUAUUUUGUUGCUUUUGAUCAGAAAGACUAAUGAUAAUAGAGAGUUUAACGUUAACAUAGUAGAUCAGGAGAAAAACACUCCUUUACAUUUAGCUUGCUUGCACGGUCAUGAAAAUUGUGUGAAAGCUUUGAUUUAUUCUUCUCCUGAUAUUGAGGUUAAUAUUGGCAAUUCUUUUGGAGACACUCCACUGAUAUUGGCUGCACGAUGGGGCUAUUUAGAUAUCGUCAAGGUUUUGUUGGAAAAUGGAGCAUCAGUUUGUGUUAAGAACAAGAGGAAUCAAAAUGUGUUAGAUGUUGCUUGUAACUUCUAUAUAAUUAAAGUCUGUGAAAAAUACUCACAGCAAAAGUCUAAAGUAGCUAAAUCUCUUUUAGAUUUUAACAGUGUUUCUUCAUCAGUACUUGAAGACAGUUGCAAGAACCACGGAGUGCGCCCAAGGAGUACAGACCAAUUUAGAAAGGUCGAUCUGCUCAUUAAAUCUAUAGAAAACAACGAUUUUCCUUUGACAAGCUUUUAUUUGGGUUACAACAGCUCACAGGCAAUAAAAACAGAACAGACGAACUGUCAUCCUUUGUGCAUCUGUGACAAAUGCAAAAAUGAACCUUACGAUGAUUUAAAUCACAAAGAAACCACAAUAACAUCUAUCAAUGUAAAUAUGUGCAAUGCAAGUGGUCAAACUCCUCUACAUACGGCUGCAAAGUUCGGCAGAACUGAAAUAUUAAGGCUACUUUUGGAUAACGGAGCAUUACCAAAUGUAAAAACUUUCGAAACUCUCUAUACACCUUUGCACCUAGCUUGUAUUUAUGAACGAGUACAAACAAUUAGAGAACUAUUGAAAUGUGGUGAAUGCAAUGUUGACGAACAAGAUGCCAAAGGCAACACACCUUUGUACUAUUCCUGUCAAGCUGGUAAUGUCAAAAUCACUGAAAUACUGUUGACCAGUGGAGCUGAUUGUAACAAGAAGAAUUAUGACGAUAAAAGUGCCUUAUCGAUUAGUGAAGAAAAUAGGCAUCAUGGCGUUUUUAAAUUAUUAAAAAACAACCUUAGAAAUAGUUUGGAAAGGGACAGCACAGAAUACAGUAAUGUCAUAAUUUAGAUACUUAAUCAAUUAUUUUCUGUUUAUCUACUGUGCAUUAUUUUGCUAAUGAAAUAUUUUGUGUAACCUCUGACCCUUAUAGUUUAUAGUAAUAAAUGGGGUAGUGAUGUUAUGCCAUAUUACUGUCAAUUCAUAAUUCAUAUAUUUCUUGUCUAUCUUGUUAACUAAGCUUCCUAAUUUAGAGAUUAACAUAAAGUCAUCUACUUUUUAGGAUAAUAUAUAAAAAAAUUAAUUUGCUCUAUUGAGUUUUAUAUGAAUUUAUACUUAAACCUAUUUAUUUGCUUCAUUAUUUUAUUAUUCAAGCUUAGAUGCAUUUUGGGAUCAGUUAUAGACGAGUACUUAAGCCAUUCCCUGAGAUUGCGCAGUCAUGACAUUCGUCACCUUCCAACUCUACGCUUUUCUAAAAUGUUUCCCUAUAUGAUAUUCUGCAGAAGCUGGUAUUUUGUUCUCCUCAUCACGUUGCCAAGGUAUUCUAAUUUUCAUAUCUUCAUUCGUUCGUGACACUGUCCAAGUAAGAUAUUCUCAGGAUUCUUCUGUAAAGCCCUUAAACUUCCACUUUUUUCAUCAUCGAUUUAGUCUACGAUUUAGGAUUUUUGGACUAUUAUCGGCAAAUCUUCUUCCUUGCCAUUAACACAGUGUCAUUUGCAUACCUUAAUAUCUCAGUACCUUUUGCAUACUUAUUUAACAUAUAUGUCAACACUAUGUUACAUCAGUGAUACCUGUUCUUUUCCUCAGGUCUUGGUGCCUUAGUUUGUCUUUUUCUAUCAUGCCUAGAAUCGAUCUUUCCAUGCGCCUUUGUGCCACUCGCAUUUUUAGUGCUGUUUUUUUUUGUGAGCGUGAGAGUUUCUGCUCCGUAUGUCAGCAUAGAACGAACGUAUUGGUCAAAUGUCUUCCGUUUUAUAGCUAUCGGGAUCUGGCUCUGAAAGAUGUCUCUUAGUGUCGUUAAAAUUCACAUGUCUGGUUAUCCUUGCUUAUUCUUUAUUCUGAUUUGAUAACUUUUCUGCCAAUUCGACCCCUUGAUUUUGGAUGGUUAGGUGUUCCCUGGGAAUUUCAGUGUAUGGCUCAUUAAACUUAUUUUAGCUUUCGGUGAUAUCUUCUUAAGUAUGUUAAGCGAGUCGUGUAAUUCUUGAAGAUUUUCCAUUUCACAGCAUUCCACCAUUCAACCAAUUUUUCUUUGCUCUCUUAUUUUCUUUUGUAUUCCUCUGUGAAUCUUGACAUAUCUUCUUUUGCCUACAGUUUUAAUGAGCAUUCUUUUCUCCAUUAAAUGAACUAUUUCGUCGAUAAUUCAGUCUUUUUUCCUUUUCUGAUUCAAUGAUUCAAUAUUUAUUAAUUAAUGUUAAUAUGGUAAUGAUAUAAUGUUAAUGUAUAAUAAUAAUUAAUAUGUUAAUGUUAUAAUGUUAAAUGUUAUUCCCCUAUUAUAAUUUCUUGAGGACAUCUUCCAUUGACUGUUUGAAUAAUUUUAGAGAUGUGGUGUCUCCUGUUUAACUCCACAUUUUAAUUUGAUUUGCGUUAAAUUAGAAAAUUAAUUUUAAAAUUCUUAUUAAAAUAUACUCAGUGACAUUAGAAGUGUUACACCCAGAAGGAAUCGUUUCUGGAACUUAAUUUUUUGGCAACAUGGCACAUUUUCAUCAAUAAUGAAACGAUAACAUUGGCAAGACUUUUUAUUGACAUGUGAUAAAAAAAAUUAAUAAUGUGUUUGGCGACCCCUAGCUGAAUACACUCCUGUACACGUCUAGGUAUUGACAAAAUGAGAUUUUUUUUUCUUUUUUGGCUUGGACUAUGGUCAUUCAGCCAGUCUCAAUCAAAAGUAAAUGUAUUAAAGAUAUUGCCAAUUAGUGAAACUUGGUUAUUAUAAUAUUAUUACAAUUUUUUACUUCUUAUUUACCUACUCAUUACAGCUAAUGUACAUACUGUUAAAAAAUAUAAAUAUAGUAUACUAUUUAAUGUUUAUCAAGAACACAUAGUGUAUACAUUUUACAAAUAAAAAUAUGAAUAUUAAUAUUAAAAUAAAUUCAUUCUUUUUUGUAUUUUAGUUUUUUUUGUUAUGUUUUUUUUUGUCACUACGAUAGGAUCUCAACCCGGUUCAACCCCGCGGAGGUUUAAAUCCUCUUAGUGGUUUUUUCUUUAAUUUUUUUUUAUUAAUUUUUUUUUUAUUAAAAAUUUUUUUUUAUUUACUUUUUUUAUUUAUUUUUUUUAUUUAUUUUUUUUUGUUUCAUGUUUUUUAUUAUUUUUUUUAUUUAUUUUUAUUUUUUUAAUAUUUUUUUUAAACAUAUUUUACAAAUACCUAUAACUAAUUACAAUAAUAUUUUACUAUCCGACAAGAAAGAUACCAAACAGUCAAACAUUUUCUUUUUAUUCAGUGACAGAAUAAAGAGAAUAUUUACAGGGAGUGGGAUGUUCUGGUCUAUAAUUCUUUUAAUUAGGUGAUUGGUUAGGUGUUUAUGCUUUUUGCAUUCAAAAAAUAUGUGGUUUAAGUCACUUUUAACCUCACAUUCUUGACAAAUAUUCGAAUCUAAUAUGUUUAUUUUAAAUAAAUGUGCAGGAUAACAUGCAUGUCCAAAUAUAAUUCUACUGAUGGUGGAUAUGUAUUUGCGAGGGAGGGUGAAAUUCUUAUACCAAGGUUUUUCCGGAAUAAUCGGUUGUAUCAAACUGUAUUGUGUUGUUGAUAUGUUACAGUACCUUUCCCAGUGUGUUUUCCAGCUCUUCAUCUGUUCAGUUCUUAAAAAAGCAAAAGCAUCUAGAAUUCAGGGCUGAUAUUUGGUUACUGUUCCAUGGAUGAGGGAAUUUUUAGCUAAUUGGUCUACAUGCUCAUUAUGUGUAAGUCCUGAAUGUGCUUUGAUCCACAUAAGUUUUGUUUUUGGGGUGUGUUUAUUAAUUUCAAAUAAGAUUUUUUUUAUUAAAAAAAUGUAUGGAUUAGAAGUACUGCAAGGUAGUUGAGGUGUUUGAAUAGCAGUAAGUACAGAUAAUGAAUCAGAUAAAAUUACUGCGGAAUUAUAGGAUACCAAAUUGAAAUAAAUUAAAGCCUCAUAUACCGCCGCAGCCUCGGCAGUAAAAAUGGAGAAAUUUGAGGGCAGUUUAAACAACGAAACGACAAAAUGAGAAAGUUUAAACGACAAAAUGAGAUGAUCGAUAUCUGGUUGUGGCAUCUCGUUCCAAGCAACUUGAAUUUCAUGGAUUAACUGUGCCAGAGUCUGUGGAGGAUCGUGCAAAGUGGACAGUCUCCUCCCCAUCAUAUCCCACACAUAUUCGAUAGAAUUUAAACCCAGCGAACGGGGUAGCCACGGCAAAAAAUUAACGCCAGCUUCUUGGAAAUAGUCCAUAGUUUGACGAGCAAUAUAGGGACGUGCGUUGUCUUCCUGAAAAAGGGCGUUUUGACGGCCGUCUAGAUAAGGCAGUAAUCUGGUUUGUAAGAUGUCAUCAACAUAACGCGCAUCUGUCAUACUGCCUAGAAUAAACAAAAGUGGUGAUCGGCUACCAUAUGCAUUAACCCCCCAAACCAUUACUCCAACUGUCCUGUGCAGAUGCCUCUCAACAGCAAACCCGAUAUCUCGUCGACUUAUCAUCUUACGACCAUCAUGCAUCUUCUUCUUCAAGUGCCGUCUCCUAAUCGGAGGUUGGAUAUCAUCAUCACUAUCUUUACUCUAUCCACCGCUGCUCUAAAGAGUUCUAUAGAACUGCAUCUAAACCAGUCCCUUAAAUUCUUUAACCAUGACACUCUCCUUCUUCCUAUACUCCUUCCGCCUCUUAUCUUUCCCUGUAUUAUCAGUCUUAGCAUUUCAUAUCGCGGUCCCCUCAUUACGUGUCCCAGAUAUUGUAACUUUCUUAUUUUUAUUGUGUUUAUUAUUUCGCAUUCUUUACCCAUUUCUCGCAGUACUUCCGUGUUCGUUUUCCUCUGUGUCCAUGCUAUUCUAAGCAUUCUUCUGUAACACCACAUUUCAAAUGACUGUAGCUUAUUUAUGUGUUCUUGCUUUAAUGUCCAGCUUUCAAGUCCAUAUUGUAGUAUCGAGAACACGUAGCAUCUCAAAGCUCUUGCUCUCAGUUCUAAACUAAGGUCUUUGUUGCAGAGAACUGUUUUCAUCUUCACAAACGCAUUUCUUGCUAUUUCUAUCCUGGUCCUUAUUUCUGUUGUUUGAUCAUUUUUCUCUGAAAUCCAGGUUCCUAGGUAUUUGUAUUUAUCAACCCUUUCUAUCGGCACAUUUCCCAAAUGUAUGCUUGUUUGUAUGUUUGUUUUCUUAGUUAUUAUCAUGUAUUUGGUCUUUUUUAUAUUAAUUUUUAGUCCAUAUUCUUUACAGAAAUUGUUUGUUUUGUUCAGUAGUAGUUGGAGUUGUUCAGCAGAGCUUGCUAUAAUCACGGUGUCAUCUGCAUAUCUUAUGUUGUUAAUAGAUCUUCCGUUAAUUAUUAUUCCUUCACUUUGAGAUAGCAAUGCUUCUUCAAAAAUGGCUUCACUAUAUGCAUUAAAGAGUAAUGGAGACAUAAUACAUCCCUGCCGAACUCCUCUCCUGAUUUCAAUUUCUGGACUGGGUUCGUUAUCUAUUACAAUUUGUGCUCUUUGAUUCCAGUAAAGGUUUGUUAUUAUUCGUAAGUCCCUUUUGUCUAUGCUUUUUGUCUUUAGAAUUUGGACUAAUUUUUCAUGUCUUACUUUGUCAAAAGCCUUCUCAAAAUCAACGUAACAAACAUGCACAUCCACAUUCAUGUCCAUGCAUCUUUGAGCUAACACAUUAAAAGCAAAUAACGCCUCUCUGGUUCCUAGUCCGUUUCUGAACCCAAACUGACUAUCAUCUAUUCCUUCUUCUAGUUUUUUGUUUAUACGACCAUGUAUUAUUUUCAAGAAUAAUUUGAGAAUGUGACUUAUUAAUGAUAUUGUUCUGUAUUCACUGCAAUCUUUAGCGUUUGUAUUUUUAGGGAUAGCACAAAAGGUUGAGAGUAACCAUUGCUUUGGUAUGUUUCCUGUUUUGUACACUGUGUUAAACAAGUCUACGAUAAUGUCUAAGGUUUCAUCAUUUAUACAUUUUAAGCUUCAUACUGGGAUUUGGUCUGGACCUACUGCUUUACCAUUUUUGCUGUUUUUUAAUGCCGAUUUAAUUUCUUCUUUUAAUAUCUUCAAAACCGUAUCAUCUUCUACGUCGACUUCCAUCUGCUCUGUUCUAUUGUCUUUGAACAAUUCAUUUAUGUAUUCUGUCCAUCUCUUUAAUUUUUCGUUAGUACUCAACACAAGUUUCCCAUCUGUAUCUUUUAGUAUUCCCGGUUUUCUUUUUCUGUUGAUCUGCGUUAAUUCCUUAAUUUUUUUAUGUGUGUUAAAAUUAUCAUGUCUUUUCUGGUGUUCUUCUAUUUCUGCGCAUUGUUCUUUUAACCACUGUUCUUUAGCCUGUUUAAUUUUGGAUUUUAUUUGUUUAUCCACAUUUUUGUACAUCUGAUUAUCUUUGUUUUUAUGCUGACGUCUUUCUUCCAUUAAAUCUAAGAUUUCCUCCGUCAUCCAUUGUUUCUUUUUGUAUCUGAUUGGUGUAAGAAUUUCUUUUUGACAUUUAUCUAUUUCUGUCUUUAUUAAUAACCAUUUUGUCUCUGUUUCAGUAUUUUGUUGGAUUUGUUCUUUAACAUUCAUUAAACGGUUAUUAAUUUCAUCUGUCAGGCGUUGUUUUAUGAGUGGGUUUCUUAGUUUACUUGUAUCGAUUUUUACAUCUGUUGUUCUGCGUUUUAUUAUUUUCAUUUUGAGCCUAAUUUUGGUCACUACUGGAUUGUGAUCUGAUCCUAUGUCGGCACCUGGAUAGGUUUUUGAAGAUAUAAUUGCGUUCUUGUAUCUUUGUCUAAUCAUUGAUGGAUUCGACCGUUACUUGAUGGAAGUUCAUUUUAUCUAACAAUAAAAAACUGAAAACGUUUGUUUUCUAUACUUCCACAAAAUUUAUUAUAUCUAAGUGACUACAGCUGUUUCGGCGGAGUGCCUUUCUCAAGUAAUAUAGUUUACAAUGUGUUUGCCUUUUUAAUCUUCAACUGAAGAGGUUGAGGAGUGGGGAGCUGUUUGUCUCGAGUUGGUCAUUCAGAAUUAUAUCUGUAUUUUUCAGUUUAUUAAUUUCCAUAGAUUCUAAAAAAGAUAGCUUAAGGCCUUUAUUUUGAAUAUGUAGAAUUUUAAACUCUUCAUUGAAAGAAUGAUUAUGAUCUAGAAGGUGAAGUGCGUAUGUAGAAGUGUCUGUUUUUCUAUUGUUGAAUGCCCUUUUGUGUUCUGCUAUCCGUUUGUCAAAAGUUCUGCCAGUUUGACCGAUGUACGUUUUCGGACAGUCACCACAAGUUAGUUUGUACACACCACUCUGUAGUUGCUUUCUCUUUCGGCUUUUAUUGUUCUUAAUAUAUUUGCUUAAGUUGUUGUUAGUUCUGAAAGCUGGUGUUAUUCCUUUCUUUUUUAUGUAUCUGGCUAUUGUUGUUGUUAUCUUGCCAGUAUAUGUGAGAGAGCAGAAGGUACUGGGUUCUUUCUGUGGUGGUGGAUACACUAAUUUCAGGGCUUUCUUAUGGAGUUUUUGGUUUAAAAUUUUGUUAACUGUUUGUUCGUUAUAGCCGUUGUUUACUGCUAUUUGUCUAAUCAAUACAUAAUCUAUUUGGUUUCUUACAAUUCUCCCUUCUUGAUCUGCUGGUGACUUCCAGGUAUAUAGUCUUCUCUUUGGCAUUUUAAACAAUGUAUUAGUUAUGACAAAAUUAUUGUUUUGGCAAAAUUCGAUAAGCCUGUCACCUCUUUCGUUUCUGUUGCCCAGACCAUAUCCUCCUGUACAUUCUUCUACUUUUUCGUCUCCAACCUUUGCGUUAAAAUCUCCCAUUAUAUUGUAACAUCCUGCGUUUUAAUGGAUUUUAAAAUAUUAUCUAGUUCUUCGUAGAAAGUUUCAAUAUCGCUCUCUGGUUUUUCCGCAGUUGGAGCAUAAACUUGUAUUAUGUUUAAUUUGGGUUUAUUCUGAUUUAAUUGUAAGAGGAUAAUUCUGUUGGAGUAUGGAAUGAAAUUGACUACAGCUUUAUCCAUGUGUUUGUUUAGUAUUAUCCCGACACCAUAUCUGUGUGAACCGUCUUGACUUCCUGAAUAGUAUAUUGUUUUAUUGUUGAUUUUCAUCUUUCCUGAGUCGGGCCAUUGGACAUCGCUGAUUCCUAAAAUGUCUACAUUCAGCCUUUCCAUUUCAUUAACGGCAUUAUGUACUUUUCCAGCUUGAUGUAGACUUCUAACAUUCCACGUCGCUACUUUGCAAGGUUUUCGCAUGUUGACGACCGGGGAGGCCUUGCAGUCUUGUGAGUUUCCUCCUCUGCCGGAUCUUGUUUUCCGAGUUUCAUGAUCAGUAGAGUGUUUGGUUAUGUUGUUAGUCAUGAUGAUUAACUAGGGAUGCUCUAUGAGCCUUUAAUGCAUUGGUUUCCCGUUGCCUUAUGCAUCUCCACGCCGUUGACCAUGCCUGGUUCGUCCGCCUUUAGAAAUGAUUUCUCAUUUCUAGGACAAGAAGGUGCCCUUCCACUUACCGACUCUUCCACCCGAAGCUGUUGGUCAGUAAGUGGGGGAUUGCUUAUACCGGCAAUCACUCGGACGUCAGCGCCUCGUUUGUUAUCUAGCAGGAUGUACCGGAUGAUCAUGAUCGAGGUCAUCUCACGGGCAGGUGAGGUUGACAUUUGAAUAGGAGAGGCUAUGUAUUGCGCAUCACUAUCCCUUACAUCCCUUACAUACCUAAACCAAAUCGCGAUUCAUCGCUGAAUGCUGCAUUAUGCCAUUCUGUCACCCAAUGCUACCGUUAUCUGCACCAAUUCAAACGUUGAGGACAGUGGUCCGCAGUCUCACUCGUGAACAAAAGGAAGCACUCGUGGUGGGCGGAAUGCAAUCAGUCCAAAGGCUCAAAUGUUACGGUAUAGGGUACGGCUAGUAACAGGUCUACCUUCUACUCCAAACCAUUGGUCAGCUAUUUGACUCGUAGUAGCAAAACGGUCUCUCAGACUCUUCAGUCUAAGGCUACGGCUCCACGGGCGGGAAAUUGACGCUAGCAGUAGCAGUAAAAUGAACUUAAGGUUCCGUGGAACGGAAUGGGAAUAGCCGAACUGAACCGACUACGCACAAGUCCUGUAGUCGGUACAGUUCGGCUAUCCCUAUUCCGUUCCGCGGAACCUUAAGUUCAUUUUACUGCUACUGCUAGCGUCAAUUUCCAGCCCGUGGAGCCGUAGCCUAAAGCGCCUAUCUUGACGCCCUGUGGUACGCCUCGGUUGACCAGUUGGUCUUCUUCGUGUUCCUCUACCUUCGUUUGUCCACACACGACAUACUCGCAUAACUGUCAUUGCCGUACAAUUAACACGACGGCCAAUUUCGCGAUACGACAAACCCAUAUCUUUAAGGCAAUAAUUCUACCCCUGUCAAAAUCGCUAAAAUUGUGGUAAUUUUGGUGUCUUCGAACUCGAGGCAUAUUCUUGCACUGAAUACAAUUAGACUGAGGAAUCAUAUCUAAAAAUAUCUGUACUAACCGGUCUUUAUAAAUUGGUCUUUUCACAAAAAAAAAUUAAAAAUAAAAUUUUAUUUUUACAAAAACUAUAAAAGAUAAAACAUUGAUAUUGUUAUCAUAGCAUGCCAUAAAUAUAGUCAUUGUGCUGCCAAAAAAUUAAGUUCAAGGAAUGAUUUCUUCUGGGUGUAACAUUUCUAAUGUCACUGAGUAUAUUAAAGUUAAAAAUGUAAUCAAAAUAUUGAAAUACUUGGAAAUUUGUACUUAUUUUUGUUUUCCAUUUGUUUUUAAGAAUGUUUUCAAUAUUAAAUUGGAUCUAAAAGUCAUGAUAAAUGUUAACCUUUUAUGACUCAUGUAUUUCAUUUGGAUUUUAAUCGAUUUUUAGUCAAUUAAUUUUUUAAUGAGCUUUAAUGAACUGAUUAUUUAGUAUCGGUUAAUAUUCUUUAUAUAUUUGCUCAGACGAUAUCUUCAAUACAACAAAUUGUCUUCUUUUUAAAGCAUGAUUUUUUCACGCCGUAUGUUUGUUCUUAACAUUCUUAUUCGUAUAAGUGAGAGACUGAUAUCACGAUUAUUAAACCUUGCCUACCUAUCUGCACUUCUAGCUCUAUCUCAUAGUGUCUUACCAUCGAUUUUUUGAAGGGUUUCCAUUUCUGCUUUUUCUAUCAUUCUUUUUGUCGCCUUGCUGUAUCAGGUCGUAUUUCUGCAGCGUAUGUCAUUAUUGGUCUGCUGACUGUUUUGUAACUUCUGCCUUUCAUUCCUUUUCCCAUAUUUUUAUUUCUCCAUAUUGUUUCAUUCAAGUAACCUGCGGCUUUGUUUGCUCUAUUCACUUGACCUUCCAUUUCUGUUUCGAGCUUUGCGUAGCUAUAGAUAGUGUGAUGCCUAGAUAUUUAACCUCCAUCACUUGUUCUAUUAUCUGACCCUCCAGCUCUAAUUUACAUCUUAGUAGAUAGAUCCGUCGGCUCCCCCCCCUGCAGAAUUGGAAAUGGGGCCCCCUUUAAAAAAUUACUAAAUGCGACAUGUAUAACAAAAACUUACAGUCCGUCUAAUUUACUUACCGUUGCACGUCAUUAUCUACGCCAGAGAUCUAAGUUGACAUAGUUGCCAAAGUAUAAAAAAAAUCCUAAAUCCAUUUUAAAUCAAAUAGAUCACAUAAUAGGGAACUUGCACAUUUUUUUUAUUACAUAAUAAUGAUCAGUUUUGUAUAAAAAUGAGAUUUCCAAAAUUUCACGCUUCAAAAACUCAUAAUAACUUAGAAGUACAAAUUUAAAGUCUUCUUUAUCUUAAAAUAGUUCAAACGACCCGUGACGUCACAGAGUUUGUUUAUGUGGUUCAGUUUAUGGUUAUAUUUACGUAUAUUCUUCUUCUUCUUUAGUUUAUUGAUAGAAUAAAGGAAAAAUAUUUGAAUGCUAUGCUGGAACAACGUUGUAACCGCCAAUAGUUUCAAAUGUGGGUACUCCAUAGAAAAACGUACUGCAUGAGCAAAAUAAUGUACUGUCGACUGUGGUGAAUAUUAUGAGACUUUACUUUAUGCAUCCUUUAGUCUAUAAUAUUAUGCUAAUAAAAGAUUCCUUUUUUGAAUAUGAUCAAUUAUAACGCGUUUUCCUCAAGGUGUCGACAAAAUCUGAUUUGGCGUUUACGACGUUGUUCCAGCAUAGCAUUCAUUUAUAUUCUAAUGACUUUUAUCGUAUGUCACUGUAAUAAAAUAUACCAGUUUGUUGAGAUUGCAGUUUGAUACAGUUUUUGAAGUGAAGGAAAGAAGGUUUACUAUUGAAAAUAAAACCAUUUUGUAAAAGUACAAAUUUUCUAUGAAUAGUUCAAACGAUCAAAAAAUUUGUAACGUCACAUAACUGUAUUUUCUACUGACGUUUAUAAUGUCUAAUCCAAAAUUAUAUAUACAAAUUGGUGUAGAAUGUAAAAAUACAACCCAGUGACGUCACGUGUUUUGGGGUGGCUGGUAUAAGUUGAACUUUUAGUCGUCUUUAGGGGCCAAAGGAAAGACAAACAAAACUUUUUUAUUUUUGAUACAGGUUCUAAAUUAUAUUCUGUUGUGAUUUAUACCAUUUUUUUCGAAUUUAAAAUUUUAUGCAAGUUCCCUAUUAUUGUAAACGUGGAUUAUACAACAAAACAAAUUAAUAUUCAAUGUUAAUAAAUAAAAACUUUAGAAAUAGAGAACAAGAAUUAAGUUAUAAUCUUACGUUAAAGUAAAUAAUAAAAACAGUAAAUAUAAUAAAACACAUACUUAUAUAGUAUUUUUACUACAAAAACGUUAUUACGUAGGUCAAAAUUUUUGACGUAAGAGAACUGUCAAAACAUUAGAAUGUGACUUUUCUUUAUUGCCAUGUUUAUUAAUAAACAUGGCAAUAAUGAAAAGUCACAUUCUAAUGUUUUGACAGUUCUCUUACGUCAAAAAUUUUGACCUACGUAAUAACGUUUUUGUAGUAAAAAUACUAUAGUAAAGAAUAUAAACAAAUAUGAAGUGUCAUCACCUCAACUGUCAAAUAAAUGUUACCAAUUUAUUCUAAAAUGUCACCUUCCUUCGAUUAUAGUUACAGUGUGUUCCGAGCAAAUGUGCUUCAUAAAAACGGUUUAUAAUCCAUUUAUACAAAUUAAAUGAAACAUAUUAUUGUGUAUUUCUUUAGGUUAACAUUAAUAGAAAUCUUCAAAUAUUAUUUUUACGCGUAUAUAAUAAAAUAUGUCUAGUGGCUGUACAGUAUACUAGGCAAAAUGAUUCUAAAAAAGAACACACCUACCGCCUAAAUAUUUCGUGUUGGUAUCAUGUGAUCACAGGCUACGACGCGGAUGACGUGCACGGUAAGUAAAUUAGACGAAGUAUAUAUGUAUGUGUUAUAGCACAGUAAAUGAACGUGAAAUACGGCGAUACCGUGUAAUUUUCAAUUCCACCACCGAAGUGAUCCAGUCAAUACUUUUCGAAUUAUUUACGAAUGAAAAUGUUCAACAUUGUUCAACAAAAAACCACGUUUUCAGACGGUUUUUCGCUAAGAACUCAAAAAGUAAGUAUUCGUAAGUAAGUAGCAAAAAUGUAGCUUAUACAAAAAUGAAGUCUAUCGACCAAGUAAAUGCAAAUUUGUAGCUCAUGAAAAAUUGUUUUUAUUCUUCAAAUUCCAAAUCGAAUAUUUCAAUGUGAAAUAUCCAAAAAAUUAAGCAAUUUUCGUGGAAAACUCAUUAAAACUUUUUUAAAGUGUUUAAUAAAAGUUUUAGGUAUUUUUACUUUUUAUAAAAAUUUCUAUCAUCAAAACUAAGCGAGUUACGCUCAAAAUACAGUUAAAGUCUUUUUUGGUAAAAAAAUGUGAAAAUCUCCCCCUAUUUUGCACCCCAAAUGAAACUAAUCAUUACCGCUUUACAAAUUACUUAACUUUUUUUUAUACCUGUAAGUUUCACCUGUUUGAAAGGACUCUAACGAGUCACUAAUUAUCAGUACAUACAUGCAAAUUUUGAAAUAUCUUGACCAAUUUUUGUCUUACAGAAAAACAAAGUAAAUACAAAAUAUUUAUAAAAUCAAGACAUACCUUUCUUUACUCUUCGAGAUUUUUCGUAUCACUCAUACUCAAGGGCGGAUCCAAGACCGAUUUUCGGGGAGGGGGGCAUGGACUUUUUUUAUGAUACAUGCAUAGCUUAGGUUACCUCACACUUUACCUCGUUCAGCACAAAGCUAAAAACAUUUUUCUCGUAGCAAGCGGGAUAUGUGUUUGAAACUAAAAUCAUUUGAACUGCAAAUGUUUAAAUUUAUAUUAUUUUAAAUUCUCGAGGGAGCUCUCUGGAUAGGCCCUUACUAAUAUUUUUAAGUUAAUUUGAAAAAAGGCAUUUUUCUAAAAUAAAAAACUUAUUUAAACAUAAAACCAAUUUUUUUUAAAAGAAGAACUUCGAACUUAUGGGGAGAUCUUUACGUUUUUUAGCAAAAAAGGGGCCAACUUUUUUUUGAGCGUAACUCUCUUAGUUUUGAUGCUAGAAGUUUGCUUUAAAAUGCUAUAAAAAUAAAAAUAAAGCACUCUUUUAAAUAUUAAAAAAAGUUUCAAUGAGUUUUCCCAAAAAGUGCUUCGUUUGUUGGUUAUUUCACGUUGAAGUAUUCGAUUUGAAAUUGAACGAAUGAGAACAAUUUUUCAUGAGCUACAACUUUCCUUUUACUGUGUCGAUAGACUUCAUGAAUGUACCUACACCUUUUUUUUUUGUUUUUUUAUAAGCUACAUUUGCUAAAAAUAUUUUUUCGAUAAUUUUUCAAUAAUAUUUAAUUCGUGUUUUUUUUUGUUUAAAAGUCGCAAAACAUUUUCACUCGCAAGUCACUUAAAAAGUCUUGACUUAGAUAAAGAAGCUCUAUAGAGCAAAAGUUGCUUAUAAUUAGUCAAUUUAUACAUUUCCGGACUUACUUUAAACGUAUAUUUUUCACCCCCGAGAAGGGGUGACUUUCAUCCUCCAAGUAAAAGCAACCAACGGCACAACUCCAACUUUGAAGUGGAGGAUAAGUAGAAUCUAAAUCCAAAUUGCCAAGCAAAUACGCUGUGACGCUGAUAAUUAUACUCCAAAACGGUAAUUUACUGGGCUAUUAGUAUAUUCAUGCACUGUUUAUGACAACUUACAUUUUUCAUCUUUAUUGGUAUAGAAAAUAGAAAGAAAAUUAAUAAACGUCUACAUUAUUACAUAGUAUUAUUCUAUGAGAUGAAUAACUUUGUUCGUACAGUACUAUCAGCGAAUAUGUCUACAAUUUUAUUAAUACAUACAAUAUAUAUACAUACGAUACAUUGUAUCUAUCUGAUGGACAACUUCAUUUUCAAUACUCAUCAUUCUCUUUGCCUUAUCUCUAUGCGGGGUCGGCUUCCCUAAUUGCAUUUCUCCACACAAUUCUAUCUUGGGUCAUAUCAAUGUUAAUCCCCUUUACCAACAUGUCCUGCCUUAUCGUCUCCCCCCAGGUCUUCUUUGGUCUUCCUCUUCUACUCCUUCCAGGAAUCUGCACUUCAGCUAUUCUUCGUAUUGGGUGACUAACGUCUCGACGUUGAAUAUGACCAAACCAUCUUAACCUAUGCUCUCUCAUUUUGGCAUCAAUUGGUGCCACACCUAGACUUCCCCUAAUAUACUCAUUUCUAAUUUUAUCCUUCUUUGUCACUCCACUCAUCCAUCUAAGCAUUCUCAUUUCCGCCACAUGCAUUCGUUGUUCCUCUUUCUUUUUCACUGCCCAACAUUCAGUUCCGUACAUCAUAGCCGGUCUUAUGGCUGUUUUAUAGGAUUUUCCCUUCAGCUUCAUAGGAAUUUUUCUGUCACACAACACCCCACUCGCUUUUUUCCACUUCAUCCAUCCAGCCCUAAUUCUACUGCAUGCAUCUCCAUCUAUUUUUCCAUUACUCUGUAAUACCGAUCCUAGGUACUUAAAACUAUUGCUUUUCACAAUCAUUUCACCAUCCAAAGAUACCAUUUUAUUUGUAGGAACUCCAUCUUUAAAUGAACAUUCCAAAUACUCUGUUUUUGUUCUACUAAGUUUUAAACCUUUUUCCUCCAGAGCUUGUCUCCUUUUUCCACCAGAGCUUGAAAACUUCAUUUUCAAUACUGUAUUGCUUAAAAAACGUUGCGUAUGUAUGCGCAAAAUAAUAUAACAAUAACACAUUUUUAAGUACAUUUAUUAGACGACAAGAUGGGGCCCCUGACAUAUUGUGUCCCCUGCAAGUUUCAUGCUGCGGGGGCCUCUGUUACGCCCCUGGCUGUUGUAACCAUGUGUUGGUCUUUUUUGGAGAAAUUAACAUGUUAAAUUUUCUAGCGAUUGUAUUAAAUUGGUGCAGCUUACGUUGUAAAUCAUUUUUACUUUAAGAGAUUAGUAUUACGUCGUCUGCAUAGCAGAUUAUUUUAAGUUGUUUUUCUCCCAUUUGGUAUCCUUUUUAAUUGAAUCGUUUAUUUCAGAAACCACCUAAGUGCGCUUUUUUCAACUUUAGGAAAACUAAAAAAAAAACUGUUUUACAACUUAAGUAUUCGCGGUGUUCAAUAAGUACUUGGAAGGGAUACGUGAAACGAUCGUGCGCGAAUAGCGGAGAAAUAUUGCAACUUUCUUAAAUAAUUCAUAUUGUCAAUUGAAAUUGUCAAAUUGACGUACAUUUCAUAUCUAUUGUCAUUGAAGAAGAAAAAUUAUAUGUUGCUCCACAAUAUUGAUAUGAUAUGCAAUUAUUAUAAUAAAGGUAAAUUUAAUUAAUUGUCUUUUGCUUGCAGUACUGUAUGUUAAUAACUAAUUUUAUUUACUGCAUACAAUUGUUUACGUUUUAAUAACAUAACCUGAAUCUUAUUUUCUCUUCUUAUUAUUUUUUUGGGCUAUGGCCUUGACAAUUAUCCGGUUACCAGGACUAAUAUAAUCGGCCAAUAUAAUUAAAAGUGCGAAUAAAGUUGCAGAGCUCAGAAAUAGGUGUGGCCUUGCCGAACUUGCACGGUCUCAAUAGGUCUAGUAUCCUUCAAAUAUUUUUUUUACCAAAUCAAAAACAUGGUAUUGGGAUGAUCUAUUUUUUUAAAAUUGUUUUUGUCUUUAAAUUUUUGAGUUAUAAAUUUUUGAGAAAUUUUCACUUAGGUGGUUUCUGCAAUAAAUGAGUGUAUAAUCACUAUUGAAAUUAAGUCAAACCAUUAAUUUUUUGGAGUGUUCUAACUAGGCCUAAAUCGAAAAAUAUUAAGUAGUGGCGUAAGUUUUGCAUAUGUAGCCGCACUAGUAACUAAAGUGCAACCAUGUCCUUCUUAAAAAUUUUAAUAUAAUUCCAAAAUUAAAGGCAUUGAAUUAUUUUCGCAAAAAAUUGAAGCGAACCUACAAACUCAGUUUUUUGUGCUCUUUUCAAAUAUGCAAACGGUUUUUGAAAAUUUCAAUAUACAGGGUGAUAUUUCAAGGCCACAAUUAUUUUAUAUUUUUUGUUAAUCGGACCUGGAUUUUUCUUGUGAUUAGGGUCGUUUGGGUUCUUAAUGAGACGUACAUAUGUGUACCAAAUAUCAAAAAAAUAUACAAGGUGGUUCUAAAGUUAUGGAUCCAGUAAGAAAUGGGAAAAAUCGAUAAAACACCCUCCUGUAACUCGGUUAUAAAAAUCGGUGGGGCAAUAAAUGUAACAUAUCUAGAACCGCCUCAGUGACCUCUAUUCACUAUUCAAGAAUUUCCGUUUCCUAGUGAAACACCCCGUACAAUGUAAUAAUAAACAAUAAAAUAACGUCUAAUUUAGUGAAGGCUACGCCAACCGUCGUGAGUGAAAUUUACCGCAGAAAGAACCUAAGCGAUGGCGCUUGGGUUCUUUCUGAAAUAAACGGAUUAUUUUCAAGGCUGCCAAAUAGCAUUCUUGAUAUGGAACAUAGGUUUUAUCUGCACUAAAAGAUAUAUUUACCUUUAAAUUGUACAGUACCACCAAAACAUAUUUUUUGAUAUUUUGUCACUUUCUGUCAGGUGCUUUCUGAAAUAAACGAUUCAAUUCUUACUUUUUUAUUAUUUCAUCCAAGGUUGAACAAUAGAUAACUCAGGGAAUCCCCUAUCUUAUCCCAAUGCCAGUUUCAAUUGGGUGAGUUAUUUUUCUCUUCUACUUUUACUUUUAUUGUGUUGUUCUCGUGUAGCGUAUAAAUAAUGCUGGUAUUAUAUAAAAUCUCUCUAUAGGUACACAUUAGGUAGUUUUAAUUUAAAAUCAAAGCCAAUUGUUUGUAUAAAAUGAAUAAAAUAUAAACUAUAACGAUGCACACCAUGACAAAUAACAUGUUUUAGAAAUGUUUUGCCGUGAAGCAAUUAAUGUAAACUUACAACAAAAGGAAACAGUACUUAGCUACAUUUUAAACGGGGCUUACUUAAGCUAGUCAUAAAAAAAGCAAACGGGACAGUUCCAACAUUAGUUUUGUUUGCAUUCCUUAAAUUGAAUAUUGUUAAAAUUCAUUGUAGAUUUUUUGUUAUUUGUUAUAUGUUUGAUCUUGUAAUUAUUUAAUAAAGUUUUUGAAAUAUCA
rnacentral:misc_RNA from 1 species